rnacentral:rRNA from 1 species
GAUGAACGCUGGCGGCGUGCCUAACACAUGCAAGUCGAACGGCAAGGCCCUGCUUGCAGGGUCCUCGAGUGGCGAACGGGCGAGUAACACGUGGGUGAUCUGCCCUGCACUUCUGGAUAAGCCUGGGAAACUGGGUCCAUUACCGGAUAGGAGCUACUUCCAGCGGGUUGGUUGGAAAGUUUUUUGGGCGUUGGAUGAGCUCGCGGCCUAUUAGCUUGUUGGCGGGGUAAUGGGCUACCAAGGCGGCGAGGGGUCGCGGGCCUGAGGGGGUGGACGGCCACACAGGGACUGAGAUGCGGCACAGGCGCCUACGGGAGGCAGAAGUGGGGAAGAUUGAACAAUGGGCGCAAGGCUGAUGCAGCAGCGCCGCGGGGUGGAUAACCGCCUUCGGGUUAUAGACACGUAGCGCUAGAGACGAAGCUUUUUGUGACGGUACCUAAAUAAGAAGCACCGGCUAACUACGUG